GAUGAACGCUGGCGGCGUGCCUAAUACAUGCAAGUCGAGCGAACGGACGAGAAGUUUGCUUCUCUGAUGUUAGCGGCGGACGGGUGAGUAACACGUGGAUAACCUACCUAUAAGACUGGGAUAACUUCGGGAAACCGGAGCUAAUACCGGAUGAUAUUUUGAACCGCAUGGUUCUAAAGUGAAAGACGGUCUUGCUGUCACUUAUAGAUGGAUCCGCGCUGCAUUAGCUAGUUGGUAAGGUAACGGCUUACCAAGGCAACGAUGCAUAGCCGACCUGAGAGGAUGAUCGGCCACACUGGAACUGAGACACGGUCCAGACUCCUACGGGAGGCAGCAGUAGGGAAUCUUCCGCAAUGGGCGAAAGCCUGACGGAGCAACGCCGCGUGAGUGAUGAAGGUCUUCGGAUCGUAAAACUCUGUUAUUAGGGAAGAACAUAUGUGUAAGUAACUGUGCACAUCUUGACGGUACCUAAUCAGAAAGCCACGGCUAACUACGUG
rnacentral:rRNA from 1 species